CCCUUAGAUGUCCUGGGCCGCACGCGUGCUACACUGAACGGAUCAGCGCGUUUUCCCUUCCCGAGAGGGACGGGUAACCUGCUGAACCCCGUUCGUGGUAGGGAUCGGGGCUUGCAAUUAUUCCCCGUGAACCAGGAAUGCCCAGUAAGUGCAAGUCAUAAGCUUGCGUUGAUUACGUCCCUGCCCUUUGUACACACCGCCCGUCGCUACUACCGAUUGAACGUUUUAGUGAGGUACUCGGACUGAGCCUCAGAAGAUUCACGUCUUUUGUGCUGCUCGGGAAGAUUCCCAAACUUGAGCGUUUAGAGGAAGUAAAAGUCGUAACA
rnacentral:rRNA from 1 species